GACGAACGCUGGCGGCGUGCUUAACACAUGCAAGUCGAACGGAAAGGCCCUGCUUUUGUGGGGUGCUCGAGUGGCGAACGGGUGAGUAACACGCGAGUAACCUGCCCUUGACUUUGGGAUAACUUCAGGAAACUGGGGCUAAUACCGGAUAGGAGCUCCUGCUGCAUGGUGGGGGUUGGAAAGUUUCGGCGGUUGGGGAUGGACUCGCGGCUUAUCCGCUUGUUUGUGGGGUAGUGGCUUACCAAGGCUUUGACGGGUAGCCGGCCUGAGAGGGUGACCGGCCACAUUGGGACUGAGAUACGGCCCAGACUCCUACGGGAGGCAGCAGUGGGGAAUAUGGCACAAUGGGCGGAAGCCUGAUGCAGCAACGCCGCGUGCGGGAUGACGGCCUUCGGGUUGUAAACCGCUUUCGCCUGUGACGAAGCGGGAGUGACGGUAAUGGGUAAAGAAGCAACGGCUAACUACGUG
rnacentral:rRNA from 1 species